GAUGAACGCUGGCGGCGUGCCUAAUACAUGCAAGUCGAGCGAACAGACGAGGAGCUUGCUCCUCUGACGUUAGCGGCGGACGGGUGAGUAACACGUGGAUAACCUACCUAUAAGACUGGGAUAACUUCGGGACACCGGAGCUAAUACAGGAUAAUAUAUUGAACCGCAUGGUUCAAUAGUGAAAGACGGUUUUGCUGUCACUUAUAGAUGGAUCCGCGCCGCAUUAGCUAGUUGGUAAGGUAACGGCUUACGACGGCAACGAUGCGUAGCCGAGCGGUGAGGCUGGUCGGCGACACGGGAGCUGAGACACGGACCAGACUCCUACGGGAGGCAGCAGUAGGGAAUCUUCCGCAAUGGGCGAAAGCCUGACGGAACAACGCCGCGUGAGUGAUGAAGGUCUUCGGAUCGUAAAACUCUGUUAUUAGGGAAGAACAAAUGUGUAAGUAACUAUGCACGUCUUGACGGUACCUAAUCAGAAAGCCACGGCUAACUACGUG
rnacentral:rRNA from 1 species